UGGGGAAUAUUGGACAAUGGGGGCAACCCUGAUCCAGCCAUGCCGCGUGAGUGAAGAAGGCCUUAGGGUUGUAAAGCUCUUUCGCCCACGACGAUAAUGACGGUAGUGGGAGAAGAAGCCUCGGCUAACUCCGUGCCAGCAGCCGCGGUAAUACGGAGGAGGCUAGCGUUGUUCGGAAUUACUGGGCGUAAAGCGCACGUAGGCGGUUGCGUAAGUUGGGGGUGAAAUCCCGGGGCUUAACCUCGGAAUUGCCUCCAAGACUGCGCGGCUUGAGAGUGGAAGAGGAGAGUGGAAUUCCCAGUGUAGAGGUGAAAUUCGUAGAUAUUGGGAAGAACACCAGUGGCGAAGGCGACUCUCUGGUCCAUUUCUGACGCUGAGGUGCGAAAGCGUGGGGAGCAAACAGGAUUAGAUACCCCUGUAGUCCCUGAGCGGGCUGGCAAGGCGCAU
rnacentral:rRNA from 1 species